rnacentral:rRNA from 1 species
UACGGAGGAUCCAAGCGUUAUCCGGAUUUAUUGGGUUUAAAGGGUGCGCAGGCGGUAGAUUAAGUCGGCGGUGAAAUUUUGCAGCUCAACUGUAAAAGUGCCAUCGAUACUGGUUUUCUUGAGUGUGGAUGAAGUAGGCGGAAUUUGUGGUGUAGCGGUGAAAUGCAUAGAUAUCACGAGGAACUCCGAUUGCGCAGGCAGCUUACUAGGCCAUAACUGACGCUCAGGCACGAAGGCGUGGGGAUCAAACAGGAUUAGA